rnacentral:lncRNA from 1 species
GUGCAGAGUAUCAUUGCAGCGCUUUUCCAGGGAGUAACGUGCUGCACUGGUUCAGGGCUUUGUCUUUAUUCACAACACAUUCAUGUGCCUCAGCAUGGGGGCAGCUGCACUGUUGCCUGCCAGCCUGUCCUCUUUGACUGCCGAAUGAACCAAAGGAUAACUCUCCAUUCGUGAGAGAGAGUGAGCUACAGAGGAAGAAAGACCACGCAAAAGGGAGGGGGAGAGAGGGGGGCGAAGAGGAUGUUCUCCGGCUCACUCCUACAUUAGGUCUCUGUGCAAAGGCAGAGGCUGUGGGAGCAGCAUCAAGCAAGACUUCGGGCAGUGAUUCUAACUAUUGCCUAUGAACACCGUGGCUGGGACGACUUUGACGAGGCAAUUUAUUACUUACGCAUAGAACACUGGCUGUGCUGAAACUGGGAGCGCAAACAGCCCCUUGUUUUCUAAUUUAGAGACUUGCAUCUUUUCGACACUCAACAGUAUCAAGACACUCUGCUACUACAGAUUGAUUUCCACCAUCAACACCUUUACCUCUUCCCGCCUGAAAAUAAAAUAUGAAAUAUAACAAGUAAAUCGCAAUCUACCUUGCACAGAAUCUUCUGGAGAGGAAAGAAGAAACCAUGUCUAGACAAGGUGCUGGAAAGACCCAGGGAAGACACAGAUGGGAUCAUCCAGUUGCUGGAAAACAAACUCAGGUCUCCCACUGGUUCUACAUUAUGGGAAAUCAUCUUUCGGGAAUUUAUCUAAGAAGAACUUCUUAUGAUGAAGUCUCACUCUGUCACCCAGGCUGGAGUGCAGUGGCGCCAU